rnacentral:rRNA from 1 species
UCGUGGAAUGAUUUGUCUGGUUAAUUCCGUUAACGAACGAGACUUUAACUUGCUAGUUGGAAUACAUGCUAUUCUGCUUGAAUUCCUCUAGAAGGACCAUGUGUAUCUAACACAAGGAAGCGUGAAGCAAUAACA